UACAGAGGGUGCGAGCGUUGUCCGGAAUCACUGGGCGUAAAGGGCGCGUAGGCGGCUAAUCAAGUCGGGGGUGAAAGCCUGUGGCUCAACCACAGAAUUGCCUUCGAUACUGUUUGGCUUGAGACCGGAAGAGGACAGCGGAACUGCGAGUGUAGAGGUGAAAUUCGUAGAUAUUCGCAAGAACACCAGUGGCGAAGGCGGCUGUCUGGUCCGGUUCUGACGCUGAGGCGCGAAAGCGUGGGGAGCAAACAGG
rnacentral:rRNA from 1 species